rnacentral:rRNA from 1 species
AGGACUAACGCUGGCGGCGUGCCUAACACAUGCAAGUCGAACGAGGGGUAGCAAUACCCCUAGUGGCAGACGGGUGAGUAACACGUAGUCAACCUACCUCUUAAUGGGGGAUAACUAGCCGAAAGGUUAGCUAAUACCGCAUACGAUCGUCGAGUGGCAUCACACGACGAUGAAAGGAGCAAUCCGUUGAGAGAGGGGACUGCGUCCCAUUAGUUAGUUGGUGGGGUAAUGGCCUACCAAGACUCCGAUGGGUAGCUGGCUUGAGAGAGCGACCAGCCGCACUGGAACUGAGACACGGUCCAGACUCCUACGGGAGGCAGCAGUGAGGAAUUUUCCGCAAUGGGGGAAACCCUGACGGAGCGACGCCGCGUGUGGGAAGAAGGCCUUCGGGUCGUAAACCACUGUCGAGGGGACGAUAGUUGACGGUACCCCUGGAGGAGCCCGGCUAACUACGCGCCAGCAGCCGAC